UUGAGGCCCUGUGGUUGCUCGUGGGCCCACCUGCAGGGGCAUUCGUGAGAGGUUCUGCCUUUUUUGUGUGGAUCGGUUUGGUAGGAUGACGGUUGAAGGCUAUGCGUCUCUGGGUUGUGGGCCGUGUGGAAGUGAGGCGGUUCCUGUAGAUUAUCCCCAUCUGUGGCUCCACUCACGCUGUCUCCCUCGGUCCCUCCUCCAAUCCAUUCUAGCUGCAAGCACGCAAUCCGAUCCCGCGCCUCCGCCGCCUCCUUCGUCCAGUCGAUCGCCGCUGAUGCAUCGCCCAACUCCACCAAUAACACCCCUGCUCUGUCGUUCUCCGAGCAACCGUCGCGUUAGGAUUUCGACCUUCUAUCCCCAACUCAACUUCGUCGUCGCGCUUUGGUGGGAACGAGUGCUCAAAAUCUCAUUUUUUAAGUCCUCCAGCCAUGGCGUCGUUGUCCCUGGGGGAGGAGAAUGGGGCGAGGAUGACUGCCGGUUUCCCAUAGCUGGCGGCGCAGAGCGACGGAUCCUGCUCCGUGGUAGCCAUCGCCUACCGCGAGGACUUCCGCGAGGCCAUGUACUACUUCUGCGCCCUACGCCGUCACAGCCCUCACGCUCUCCGGCUCACCGCCAAGGCCAACCACGUCAACCCCGGCAAGGCGGCAACUACACUGGAAGAUUGUCCGUCCCUAUUCUCUCCUUCUGUCCGCAUUCGUACUCGAUUUUACUGGAAAUUCGUAGAACUUCAAUUGUUUCAAGGUAUGACAUUUCAGGUGUGUUGUUCUAGAGGCACUAGAUGCUGAUUUGCUACAAGAACUACCAGCCUGAGGAGGCUCAGCCUAGGUUGUGUCACCGUUGUUGCUGCUAUACUGUAACGGCGUCCGCUUAGACGAUGAGGCAGGAAAUGCUUACAAGGUUACCUGAACAUAUACAACAUGUACAACAUAUUGGAUGAAGAUGCCAAAGCAAUUUCUUUCUGCUAAAAGGUUCUACCUUUACUCUGGUCAGGACAGGUACCUGAGCUCUAAGAUCUUAGUGACAAGCAAUAUCACUGUCCAAAUUAUGACACAUUUUUCUUAUAUGAAUUUUGCUUAUGACGUGUUGAUGGAAAUUUCUUCAAAUAUUAAUCUAUCAUGUAUAAAACAUCGUUAACCAUCUUGUGAAUUACGUAGUAAGGCAAUCUAUUUAUAUUUUUGCUCAACUUUUGGUUAUCUUGCAGUAUUGUUCGAUAUAUCUUUCUUUCAUACAUAGAAGUACAAGCCACAAGAGAUGGUUUUGUCUACCUGGCACCUGGGUGUGCGCGCAUCAGGUUGAUUGGAAAUUGUAGUAGAAUGCAUGUGUAAGUUCGUUGAAGUUCUGGAAAAACUUGAACCAAAAUUAUAUGUAUUUGAGCCUGCGUGCGUGCACCAUCUGGAUAUUGUUGGACGCAUGAACAUAUGAAUUUUGAUCCAAAAUUAUGUGUUUGAGUUCUCUGUAGGAGAAUAAAGAAGGAGAGAGUUUCUAAAAUAGAUCAUGCAAAUAUACUCAAUUAGUUUAUUUCAUGGAGCAUGCAAAAUAAAAAUUUAUUGGACAAACUUACUUCCGAAUAGUAUGCACUCCUAAAUUAGUCUGUACAGAACCCAAUUCUGUUCUCUGCAUAUUGGUUACCUAGCCUGUAGGAAUGCUGAUUGAUUUUUUUUACUUCUCUUUAAACUAUGUAUGGAAAUGGUAUCCGCCUGUCCCCCACAUAUUUCAUCUUCUGCGAUUCAAGUAUGUGCCUACAGCCAAAUAUUAUUGGUGCAUUGCAUUUCUUUUAUCUAUUAUCUUAACUCUUAUCUUAGUUUUAUGUUGCAAGUAGAAGGAUAGUGGAUUGACUCAAUGUAGCAAGACGUGCAUUCUCUUCCACCUAAACUAUCUCAUUGUUCCAGUUUACCAACAGAAAGAAUUAAUCUGUUUUUUCCCUAUGGUUAACCAUGAGAACUGCCAGCUGUUUCUUUUAUUUACAUGUUUAUAUUUCUAUACUUUAUACAGUACCCCCUCUGUGCCUAAAUACAAUAUGUUUUGGCAAGUCAAUUUAGCUUACCGAAAUAUCUUAUAUACAUAUUGUUAAUGCCUAUGAAUGUAAGAUCAUAGAAAUCUUUACCUGCUCAUGAACAUUGUGGUGUUGAUAGUGUCAGAGCUGUGACUAAUGGAACCAAGUAGAAAUUUUAAUAAAAUUUGGGCAUAUCUAUUCAUGGGAGUGCAUAUUCCCUGAUCGAAAAAGUUAUAAAUUUUGCAGUUGGAUGUUUGAGGCAAGGUGGUAGUUCACUAUGGACGCAUGCAUGGAAAGGACAUGUAAAGACUUAUAUGACAAAUGAUGAAUUGAUAGUGUCUAAGCGGGUAUUUGAAUUUAUUUAUAUGCUCGGACUUCUGCAAAUGCCUAGGCUACUAUCUUUUUUAUGGAAGCAUAUAUUUAGCUCAGUUG